GUGCGUAGGCGGGCAGGUAAGUCAGUGGUGAAAUCCUGGAGCUCAACUCCAGAACUGCCAUUGAUACUAUCUGUCUUGAAUAUUGUGGAGGUAAGCGGAAUAUGUCAUGUAGCGAUGAAAUGCUUAGAUAUGACAUAGAACACCCAUUGCGAAGGCAGCUUACUACGCAUAUAUUGACGCUGAGGCACGAAAGCGUGGGGAUCAAACAGGAUUAGAUACCCUGGUAGUCCACGCCCUAAACGAUGGAUACUCGACAUACGCGAUACACUGUGUGUGUCUGAGCGAAAGCAUUAAGUAUCCCACCUGGGAAGUACGUUCGCAAGAAUGAAACUCAUAGGAAUUGGCGGGGGUCCGCACAGGCGGAGGAGUAUGUGGUUUAAUUCGAUGAUACGCGAGGAACCUUACCUGGGCUAGAAUGCUGGGAGACCGUGGGUGAAAGCUCACUUUGUAGCAAUACACUGCCAGUAAGGUGCUGCAUGGCUGUCGUCAGCUCGUGCCGUGAGGUGUUGGGUUAAGUCCCGAAACGAGCGCAACCCCUAUCAUUAGUUGCCAACAGGUUAAGCUGGGAACUCUAAUGAAACUGCCGCCGUAAGGUGUGAGGAAGGAGGGGAUGAUGUCAAGUCAUCAUGGCCUUUAUGCCCAGGGCUACACACGUACUACAAUGGGGGAGACAAAGGGCUGCAACAUAGCGAUAUGAAGCCAAUCCCAAAAACUCCCUCUCAGUUCAGAUUGCAGGCUGCAACUCGCCUGCAUGAAGCUGGAUUCGCUAGUAAUCGUAUAUCAGCAAUGAUACGGUGAAUACGUUCCCGGACCUUGCACACACCGCCCGUCAAGCCAUGGGAGUCGGGUGUACCUAAAGUCGGUAACCGUAAGGAGCUGCCUAGGGUAAAAUCGAUGACUGGGGCUAAGUCGUAACAAGGUA
rnacentral:rRNA from 1 species